GUUGGCCUUAUUAAAGAUGGACGUGGUCUGAGGCACAAAUACUACAAGGACUACAAGGACUACUUAGGUACCAGCUCGAGCAACGCAGUUCGCUAUGAAAAACAUCACCAAAAGCAUCUUGGAUGAAAUCAACCUGACCUCAGACUCAGCUACGACCAUAACUCAACCUCAGACAUCAGCCCAGUUCUGUUCAUUCAUCUUUCACCACACCUGAACCAGGAUCAGAUUUGACCGUUUUCCAUGGCCUACAGUUGCUACCUCCUCUUUGCAAAGCCCUGUAUUUCAGCCUGACCUCCACCUUUGGGAGAGAAGUCUGACAUAUCUACAAUACACAGCCAAAGAAAUAAGUGUUUUUCUUCUGUCUCUCUGCCUGGUGUUUGUUAAUGAAUGGAGUAGAAUAUGUUGGGUGUGCACCAAAGCUGUUCAUCAAAUGUCUCAAAAGGAACCAAUGCCAUGUUUUGUUUGUUUAUACCCUCCCUCUCCCUGCAACUCUUUCUUAUUCUUGAAAUCACACCCUCUAACUUUGAGGCUGGUCAGCAGAGAAAAUCUAAACCAUGCUUAUAUUUCUGUAUUUUUUUCAUAAGGACGGUGCUCAAAUGUCCUGAUCUAUAAUCUGGAACGUUUUAUAGACAAAUAGAACAACUUCCAGCUGCAGUGGUUCUCAUUGUUAAAUUAAAACCAAAUGUGUUUUAAUAUUCAGACUAAUUAAUCAGAAUGUGUCCAAUGACUGUGUGGAUUGUGUCAGUUUGAAAAUAUUUGGAAGAGCUGUAGAUAGUAAUGGCCAACAGAUGCUGACUGUUACUUCAAAAUAAGAUACAAUUGUUUCGUCUGUAAUGUGAUACUGAAAGGUAGAUUAGGGGUUGAUUUUGCCUUCAAAAUAAAACUGGAUGUUUCAUAUCUUUGAUUAAUGUCGUGAAAUUAAUUUAAUGCAGUUAGAUUGUUGGAACAUCUUAUAAUUUUAAGUAAUUAUAUAACAUUAUUUAAAAAUACUUUACACUAUCUCAUCCCCUGUUGCAGUGCGGGAAAGGGCUUUUGCACAGAGCAGAUGUUUGAAACUGGUCAAAAAAAUCUUCUAUGUUACUAUUAAACUUUACUUGCAUGAUCAAAUCGCUAUUGUCUUUGUUAUAAAUGCAAGUGGUGCUCACUUAUAUUGCUGCCUAUAAUAACACCAACAGGAUAAAAAGCUGGUCACAUAAUAGACUGAGGGGUCAAACUAAAAGCUGUUAACCAUACUCUAUGUGCAAAGCUAAAGUGGAGUCUGAAUGUUAUCUGACUGGUGCUGUCAUGUUGCCUUGAUUAUUCUAAAUA